GUGGAGGCGGCGCCUGCAGGUGGUCGCGUGUCUGGGCGCUGCGAUCCUGCUCCUGUGCGCUGCGCUGCGUGCCCUGCGUCCGGCCAGGGCCGACGACGAUGGUGGUGGUGGACAUUUGGCCAGUCCGGGGAUGCUGUCUCGGUAACUUCUGCCCCAUUCUCUGAGCCCCAGUAGCCCCGCGACUUAAGCUGGACUAGCGCGAGGCAACUUUGAGUUCCCGCCUGGGACUCUCCUGCUACAUCCAAGACCCUGCUGGGUCCUCCAUCCGCACCAGGAAGGGCUAGACUGUGCUGGCCUCGGAAGAGAGGAUCUACGACCUGCGCCUACCAGAACCUACCAGGCAUGUGGCCAGUCUCACUCUGAAUUUGCCCAAGUCUCCUUGAAUCUUCAUGAAGCCAACCGCUUCAUAGAGGAAGCAGAGGGCAGUGGCCAGGUGUGAAGUGGCUGGAGGUGGCCAGGCAGUGGGCCAUGUUAGUGAGUUUGCCUUUCAAUCUGUUUGUGUGUCUGAGGUCAGUUCAACUCCAGACAGGCCUACAGCCCAGGAUGGUGGGGCAGUGGGUUAGGGAUGACUAAGGACAAGGGUAAGCGGUUUUCAGGAUGGCACUCACUGAUGGAGAGACCCAUCAACUAGACUGAAGACACUCAGCAAGCUUCACCUGCUGGGUGGCCAUCUGUCCCCUCCCAUGGUAUCAGCAGUUCCACCUAUGAAAUGGGUAUUGAGUCUGUCCUUAUAGGACUUCUGGGAUGGUGAGACUGAAUGUGGCAGUAAAUAGUGCUUGGUCUCCAGACCUUUCAUCUGUUGGCUUCAUUCUUGGGGCCUCAGGGAUGAAUCCAGGAUUUGGCUGGGGUCCAGAUGCAUGGAGUUGGGGAGGCCUCAGGAGCAGUCACUAGGCUUCUGCCUACUUACCCCACUACUUAAUUUCUUCAUUUUCAGACACAAGUGACCAGGCCUGGAUGCCUCUCAAGCCCCCUGGAAGGAGCUGACACUCCCCACCCCCCCUAUAGUGGCCCUGUACAUGAGCUGGCUGGCCAUGUGUAGGUGUUUUCUCAGGUCUAGAGUGUCCCUUGGCACAAUCUGGGGUGUGGUCCCAGUGCCUGCGGUUGCCAUAGUCCCUGCCCACCCAGUCAUUCAGUAGACAGAUGUUUACCUAGUCCUGGGCCACAGUGGCUCUGGUCCCUCAGGGCUGUGUGAGAAGGCUCCUAAAUGUCUGGGCCAUAGCAAGCAUCUGCAAAGGAGCAUGUGUCUGGGUGGCUGUCAGUAUGUUUCCAGGUCUCUUGGUUCACAUCUCUCCUGCCUCCUCCUCCAGCCAGGUCUGAGAAAAGAGAAGCAAGGGUGACUCUGGGAGGAGACUAGGUGCAGGCAAGUUUAUCAGAUGGGAAACUGAGGGAAGGAAAUUUAAGACUGAGGGGAAAAUAGGCAAUAGGAGUGGAAGGCCCAUGGGUGAUGUGCUGGGCUGGUGGGUAGGGUCCUGAGGACCUAGAGCUGGACAGUACUGUAAGUCAGAGCCCAGAUGUGAAUGGGCUCGAACGGCAGCUAGUUGGGGAGAUGUUAUCUUUAAAUAGACCUUUGCACUGGGUGAGGCACAAGGGUUACAAGAAAAUAAACAACCUUCUUCCUUAUAGAACUGACCUUCCAGAAGGGUUAGCUCACACAUAGGUCAGUUGAUUUCAACAGUGAUGCUGUGAACAAAUUAAAAGGAGGCUGAUUUAGAAUACCUGGAGAUGCUUUCUGUCACAUUCCAGUGGGAAACUGGUCAGUGAGAAGCAUCUACCCAUGUCAGGGUUACUGGGAAAGCAUUCCAGGCAGGGGGAAGUCAGUGCAAAGGCGCUGUGGCAGGAGGAAAGGUCAUCUUGGUGAGGUGAAUAAGUGGGAGGGUGGAGGUGCUGGAGGGGUCCUGGUCAGGACGUAGACCCCACUAUGAGCCAAGCUAGUGUGAAACUGCAUGUUUCUUCCAGUCCUAGGGAUCAAAUCUGAGCUCCUACAUGCUAGGCAAGUGUCCAGUGCUCUACCACUGCGCUAACUUCCUAGCCCCCUGCCCCUUAAAGUUUUUUGAGACAGAGUCUCAAUAGUUAGUUGCCCAGGGUCACGAUGUAGUCUAGGCUGGACUUAAACUUAA